GAUGUUGUCCAUUGUGCACGGUGUAGCGUCCCCUGGCAUAUUGAAGGCGGUAAACUUCUAUUGGUGCUAAACCGUGUGCUGCGACAUGGUGGUUUCUUCGUCUGGUCUGCUACUCCUGUUUACCAAAAACUUUCUGAAGAUGUUGAGAUAUGGGAAGCCAUGAAGCAACUAACAAAGUCAAUAUGCUGGGAGAUUGUCUAAAUAACUAAGGAUAGAGUGAAUCAAGUGGGAAUAGCUAUAUUUCAGAAGCCAACAUCAAAUGAAUGCUAUGAGAAAAGAUCUCAAAAUGAGCCUCCUGUCUGCCAAGUGUCUGAUGAUCCAAAUUCUGCCUGGUACAUUUUUUGCUUCUGUAAAUAUGUGAUUUACUUAUCCGGUUUCUUAGGGAUAUGGGUUUCCAAGAAAACCUUCUAUUGGUGGAAGAUAAAAUUGCACAAUUAAAAUAUAUUCAUGUU